rnacentral:rRNA from 1 species
GGGGAAUCUUCCGCAAUGGACGAAAGUCUGACGGAGCAACGCCGCGUGAGUGAUGACGGCCUUCGGGUUGUAAAGCUCUGUUAAUCGGGACGAAAGGUCCUCUUGCGAAUAGUUAGAAGGAUUGACGGUACCGGAAUAGAAAGCCACGGCUAACUACGUGCCAGCAGCCGCGGUAAUACGUAGGUGGCAAGCGUUGUCCGGAAUUAUUGGGCGUAAAGCGCGCGCAGGCGGAUCAGUCAGUCUGUCUUAAAAGUUCGGGGCUUAACCCCGUGAUGGGAUGGAAACUGCUGAUCUAGAGUAUCGGAGAGGAAAGUGGAAUUCCUAGUGUAGCGGUGAAAUGCGUAGAUAUUAGGAAGAACACCAGUGGCGAAGGCGACUUUCUGGACGAAAACUGACGCUGAGGCGCGAAAGCCAGGGGAGCGAACGGGAUUAGAUACCCCGGUAGUCCUGGCCGUAAACGAUGGGUACUAGGUGUAGGAGGUAUCGACCCCUUCUGUGCCGGAGUUAACGCAAUAAGUACCCCGCCUGGGGAGUACGACCGCAAGGUUG